rnacentral:rRNA from 1 species
AUGGUGAGGGGGAUGCCCAAAUCAAGACCUAUCAAAGCGGCGGCCGAGGUGGUCUUCGACCCGUCCGUCUCUGGCCCCCGGAAGCCGCGCCGUGCCGAGGCGCCCUCGUCGAGCAGCGAGUAUCACCACUUCAUGGGGUCGAGUCUUUCAAAUAUGUACCACAAGCCAGCUCCGGCGAAAUCUACCGACAUGUCUGAUGAUGAGCCUGACAUUGAUAUUGAGAAGUUGUUGAAAGAUGUUGAGCUUUUCGGUGCCACUACAUGGAAGGACAAGAAUAAAAUACAGAACCGCAAAGUAGUUGAACUGGGUGGAAAGGCCAUUAAGAAGCAGCGUACACCAUUAUCUGUGGCAAUCCCAGCUAUGAAGAAUCAGCAGAAAAGAGAACAAAAGAAGAUUGAGGAGGAAAGACUGCUUGGGAUUUUUAGGAAACAAAACAAGAAUAAGAAAUUUGAGAAGCUUAGACCAGAGGACCGAGUACUCAGGGCAACUGAAGGGCGCUUCAAGAACGGUAUACUCGAUGUGAAGCACCUCAUGGGAGGACCAAAGCAGUCCUCGUCGUCAUCGUUCAGAGAUGCGCCGGAGCGGGAGAUGAGAAAGGGUAAGAAAGGGAAAGGAAAGGGAAAGGGGAAAGGAAAGGGGAAGGGAGGCCGAAGGAACAGACGUUGA